rnacentral:tRNA from 1 species
GGCACGGUGCGCCAAUCCGGCAGAGCGACCAGCUUCAAAACCUGGUGGGUGUGGGUUCGAUUCCCUCUCGUGCUAC